CCUACGGGUGUCAGCAGUCGAGAAUCAUUCACAAUGGGGGAAACCCUGAUGGUGCGACGCCGCGUGGGGGAAUGAAGGUCUUCGGAUUGUAAACCCCUGUCAUGUGGGAGCAAAUUAAAAAGAUAGUACCACAAGAGGAAGAGACGUCUAACUCUGUGCCAGCAGCCGCGGUAAUACAGAGCACUCAAGCGUUGUUCGGAAUCACUGGGCGUAAAGCGUGCGUAGGCUGUUUCGUAAUGCGUGUGUGAAAGGUGAGGGAUCAACCCGCGGACGGCAGAUGAGACGGCGAGACUAGAGGAGUGGAGAGGGAACCGGAAUUCGCGGUGGAGCGGUGAAAUG
rnacentral:rRNA from 1 species